GGCCUGGCGGUGCGGUCUGGCCUCACGGUCAGCACUGCACGGUUGGGUCUUUCCUUCUCGAAAACCAUGGUGCUCUUAACUGGGUGCUAUGGGGAUCGAGGACUUUUACUUUGAAAAAAUUAGAGUGUUUAAAGCAGGCAUCUUGCUCGAAUACAUUAGCAUGGAAUAAUAGAAUAGGACUUUGGUUCUAUUUUGUUGGUUUCUAGGACCAAAGUA
rnacentral:rRNA from 1 species